GCACCCGUAGCUCAGUUGGAUAGAGCGGCAGCCUCCGAAGCUGUAGGUCGGACGUUCGAGUCGUCUCGGGUGCACCA
rnacentral:tRNA from 1 species